UGAUGUGAGCCAAAGGCCGACCGUGCGCUCUUCCCUCCUCGCGGUUCAAUGCAGGCGUUCUCGCCUGGCAUUCUAAAACCCUAAAAAGUGGUCAGGUUUUGGCCAGCCUUGCUCCCCCCGCCAGGGGGGACAGGGCCCCCCGCCCCCUCAUAAGGGCACCCAGGGCUUUUUUCAUGGCUUUUCCCCUCUCUGAAAAGCCUGUGUCCGAGGGUUGAGCGGGUCGUGUCUCUGAACGGUCCGGGGCUGCAGUGCGGGGUUGCGAGGGAUGCCUGGCUCCUGUGGCCGGGCGUCAGUGGCGCGCCCACCUCCAAGCAACGAGGCCCCUGCAGCCGCCGCGCCCUGAAGUGCUGUGCAGUCUCGCAUUUGAAGCCUGAUUUAUUGCUCCGUUUUG
rnacentral:telomerase_RNA from 1 species